CGGGUGAGUAAUGCCUAGGAAAUUGCCCUGAUGUGGGGGAUAACCAUUGGAAACGAUGGCUAAUACCGCAUAAUGCCUACGGGCCAAAGAGGGGGACCUUCGGGCCUCUCGCGUCAGGAUAUGCCUAGGUGGGAUUAGCUAGUUGGUGAGGUAAUGGCUCACCAAGGCGACGAUCCCUAGCUGGUCUGAGAGGAUGAUCAGCCACACUGGAACUGAGACACGGUCCAGACUCCUACGGGAGGCAGCAGUGGGGAAUAUUGCACAAUGGGCGCAAGCCUGAUGCAGCCAUGCCGCGUGUGUGAAGAAGGCCUUCGGGUUGUAAAGCACUUUCAGUCGUGAGGAAGGUGGUGUAGUUAAUAGCUGCAUUAUUUGACGUUAGCGACAGAAGAAGCACCGGCUAACUCCGUGCCAGCAGCCGCGGUAAUACGGAGGGUGCGAGCGUUAAUCGGAAUUACUGGGCGUAAAGCGCAUGCAGGUGGUUUGUUAAGUCAGAUGUGAAAGCCCGGGGCUCAACCUCGGAAUAGCAUUUGAAACUGGCAGACUAGAGUACUGUAGAGGGGGGUAGAAUUUCAGGUGUAGCGGUGAAAUGCGUAGAGAUCUGAAGGAAUACCGGUGGCGAAGGCGGCCCCCUGGACAGAUACUGACACUCAGAUGCGAAAGCGUGGGGAGCAAACAGGAUUAGAUACCCUGGUAGUCCACGCCGUAAACGAUGUCUACUUGGAGGUUGUGGCCUUGAGCCGUGGCUUUCGGAGCUAACGCGUUAAGUAGACCGCCUGGGGAGUACGGUCGCAAGAUUAAAACUCAAAUGAAUUGACGGGGGCCCGCACAAGCGGUGGAGCAUGUGGUUUAAUUCGAUGCAACGCGAAGAACCUUACCUACUCUUGACAUCCAGAGAACUUUCCAGAGAUGGAUUGGUGCCUUCGGGAACUCUGAGACAGGUGCUGCAUGGCUGUCGUCAGCUCGUGUUGUGAAAUGUUGGGUUAAGUCCCGCAACGAGCGCAACCCUUAUCCUUGUUUGCCAGCGAGUAAUGUCGGGAACUCCAGGGAGACUGCCGGUGAUAAACCGGAGGAAGGUGGGGACGACGUCAAGUCAUCAUGGCCCUUACGAGUAGGGCUACACACGUGCUACAAUGGCGCAUACAGAGGGCAGCAAGCUAGCGAUAGUGAGCGAAUCCCAAAAAGUGCGUCGUAGUCCGGAUUGGAGUCUGCAACUCGACUCCAUGAAGUCGGAAUCGCUAGUAAUCGUGGAUCAGAAUGCCACGGUGAAUACGUUCCCGGGCCUUGUACACACCGCCCGUCACACCAUGGGAGUGGGCUGCAAAAGAAGUAGGUAGUUAA
rnacentral:rRNA from 1 species